GACGAACGCUGGCGGCGUGCUUAACACAUGCAAGUCGAACGGAAAGGCCCCUUUGGGGGUACUCGAGUGGCGAACGGGUGAGUAACACGUGAGUAACCUGCCCUUGACUUCGGGAUAACUUCAGGAAACUGGGGCUAAUACCGGAUAGGAAUCCUUGCUGCAUGGUGGGGGUUGGAAAGCUUCGGCGGUUUUGGAUGGACUCGCGGCUUAUCAGCUUGUUGGUGGGGUAGUGGCUUACCAAGGCUUUGACGGGUAGCCGGCCUGAGAGGGCGACCGGCCACAGUUGGACUGAGAUGCGGCCCAGACUCCUACGGGAGGCAGCAGUGGGGAAUAUUGCACAAUGGGCGGAAGCCUGAUGCAGCAACGCCGCGUGCGGGAUGACGGCCUUCGGGUUGUAAGCCGCUUUCAGCAGGGGCGAAGCUUGUGGUGACGGUACCUUCAGAAGAAGCACCGGCUAACUACGUG
rnacentral:rRNA from 1 species